GUGCACCGCACCCCUGACGUCAUCCCUGGGGUGGCUGCCUCGGCCCCUUCUGCUACUGCAGCGUAUGCACCCCUCCUCCCGCAGAAUUGGCCCAUAGCCUUCCGCGUGGCUUCCGUCGAGGGGUUUUGCUUCUGGUUCGAGGUCACGGACAAGAUGGUGCCGCCGGUGCAUGUCUCCCCGUUCAUCAAGCUGGGCCGCUACUCCGCGCUGUUUCUUGGCGCGGCGCAGGAGUCAGGCGACACAGUUACCUGAAGCCCUGCGCGGAGGAGGAGAGGCGGCUGGCGGCGGCGGGAAAGCAGAAGCAGGAUGAGCUGAAGCCUAUCUCGAGGGAGCGGGCGGAAGCCGAGGACGACAGCAUCCUCAAGUGAGUGUCUCCCAGAACCGAGCUUCGUUGCGGGAAUAAAGCGGCCCGUGCGGUGCGAGUCUGUUUCCCUCCAUCCUGGGAUGGGCGGGGAGCGGACUCCGGUCUCCCGCAUGGCGCCAUCCGGGGGCUCUCCUGCACUGGGUCCCGCGCGCGGAGACAGCAGCUCGGUUUCUCUGACUUUAUUCUGGAUCUGCUUGGUCUACGACCAUGAGAGGCGGCCUCCGUGGGCCGGCCUCCUGGGUGCACUCAGACAGGUGCAGGCCCUUCGGGCUCUCCCGCAGCAGCGUCCACUUCACAGCACUCACACCUGGCUUAGGUUUGUGAAAACACAAAAACCUUGGAACAAUUCAACGCGGCUUCUUCUGGCGGCCUAACCUGACACCAAACUGCCAGAGACGGAGCUGGGGGCUCUGCAGGUCCCACGUCAGGUCCUGGGACGCAGCUCACAGGAUGCAUCAGGUGGAAGACUUGGGAGCCGGGCCCCCGUUGCAGAUCUCUGUGCCGCCUGCAAGAGAAGGGGGGGCCGUGAGUGGGAGCCACACAGGCCACUUCCCCGCUGCUCUGAGUGACCUCUGCGGUCCCUGCAGGAGAGAGGGCGGAGCAUGGCGGGGCCAGCCGGGGCCGAUGAGCCGAUUAGCUGGGGCUGGGCCUGCCUUAGUCUUGGCCCUGUUGUCCAGGGGAGUCACCCCCCUUCGCCAGGGCUUCCACGCCCCUCAGAUUUGUGGCUUGGGUUCUGGAAGGCGCAGGACUUUUUCUCAGUGUUGGUGAAAACUGAUGGCAGGGAGUAGCGCAAGUGCUGGGUCUGGCUGUGUCCACUCCCUGGGGCUGCCAUCCUCCCCGAGCCCCUGCAAGGACUGGCAAUGCCAGUGAGGGCCUCUCUGCCCUGCGGGGCCGGCCUUCCACACGUCUGCUGGUGGGGCUCACACACUGGAGGCCCCUUGGAGGGAGCCCCACAUGUACCCAGGGCCUUCACUUUGGCCUCGUACUCAUCCGCCAGCGCCUUCCACUCUUUCCUGUUGUUCUGCAGUCAGUCAAACAUGGGCAGGAUUUCCUCUUGGAACAGUGAGAACUCCUGGAAGGGGUGGAGCCAUCACCAGGCCACCCACAGGGGCUUCCCAGCCCAAACCCUUGCAGGCUUGCCCGGCCUGGCCCACCGCCGGGCGUCCCUUGGCAGACAGAGCUGUCGGUGAGGGAGAGGCAAUGAGCAGGACAUCAGGUCCCCAGCAAAGCCCCAAAGGGGAUGUUGGGGGGUUGUGUGUGAGGGAGCUCCUGCGGACAUGGUUACUGCAGGCGGGGCUGGGGCAGGACGCCCAGCGUCCCCUGAAAGGAGAUGGCAUGUGGCAGAUGAGCCCACCCCAAAUGCCUCUUUGUCACCCACAUGACGAUCUCCUUCCACGUGGUCUCCAGUGACAGGUACUCCACCCAGCUCUUGUCCUGGUUGUUCUUGGUCUCAUCCGCGACCUGGAACAUCCUCCUCUUCCUGAGCCCACAGCUGGGGCGGUGGCAUGGGGAGAGGGGCGGAGAGGAGGGGGAGCUGAGGCUGGAGUCACCCCGGGGGUCCCGCCUGCUUCCCAGAGCCUCCAAAGCCGGGGUAUCACAACCCGACCACUAGCGUGAUCCCUCCCUCAGCAUGGCCCCGCCCUUCCAGGGAGGGGAGCGCGCUUGAAGUAGAGCGCCAGGUCAGUGGCGAUGAUGGCGAUGUCCAUGAGGUGGAUCACGUGCUCGUGCUGCUGCAGGUUCAGGUUCUAGUAGAUGUUGAGGCUCUGCGGGAGAUCACAUGUCAGCCACGCGCAGCCGGCGCCCCCACUGUCCCCUUGACCCAUCCUGGUGCUUGGGCGGGCCCCGAUCUGGCCUCCGGGGUUCUGUCCCCACACACGCUGCAGGAACCCGGGUUGGGCCUGCACCCUGCGUGGUCGCCUCACCCACAGCGGCCGCCGGGUGCCCUCUGCCUCCUCUGGGUCCUGGGACCUGGAUGACCGCCCUGCCAGGGGCAGGGCCGAGGAGGUCCCAGCUUUACAGGACACCUGCUGGCCACUCUGCGCCGAUGGUCUCAGGCCACUGCCUCCUCAGAGGGGCACAGCUGGCCUCCGGCCUCAUCCUCACACGGAGCCCUGGGGUCUCCCUUGGCUCAGGGUCACGCAGACUCUGAUGGCUGGAAGUGAGGACACAGACCUCCUCGGACAGAAGGAACUUCCUGAACUCCAGGUAGUACUGUUCCAGGAUCGAAGAGCCCUGGAGCUUGGCCAAGGGGUUCUGGGACCUGCCAUGUGUGCCAUGGAAAACGAGCGUGGAGGAGCGGCCGGAGCUGCCGACUCCAGCCCACCCUGGGUGCUGCAUGGCCAUUGGCAGCAAGUCAGGUCCACCUUGUCGCGUCCCUCGACCAGCAAGGAAGACACAACCCGAACUCUUCUUCAAGCAGUUUAUUCAGGAACCUUGAACAAGCUUCUUCUCCCGCCUCCUUCCCUCUCCCAUCCCUCUUAUAGCCAUCAGCACACCAAUCAAAAGCAGCCAAGUGGCAAGGAUUGAUAGGUACAGCAAUGCGGAAGCCAGAAGGGAGCUCAGCCAUCUCCUUAUUAGGAGUUGUUUGUUUCUCGCCAGUCCUUCCGGGAGAAAGGAGCCGGCGCCAUCUUUAGGGCGCGGUGCAAUGGCUCCCCACACCACCUCAGGGUGUGGUGACUCCCAGCCCACCCGGCCAGGGGCCUACUUCAUCUGGUGCAGGUUGUUGGUGCCGCGGUGGUUGAUGUCAUGGCACAGGCCGGCUGUCUCCAUAGUGAAAUCCUCCAGGUCAGUGUAGUAGCUCUUCAGCUUGCCCAUCUGAGGGGUGGGGGCAGCACAUGGGGACGUGAGGAGGGGGAGCUGGGCCCCUGCCCAUCCACCACGGUGCGGGUAGGAAUGAACUGGACAGAGGCGCCCGCCUCCACCCCACCAUGAGAGGCCCAUGUGGGACUGGGGCCCCUGUCUGCCCAUGGAUGCCCCUGUGCUGCACCUGUCCCCACCCCCACGGCAGGUCUGGGUCUGAUUCGGGCCCCCCAUCUGCCUGCCUGCAUACCCACCAUGAGCAGCAUGGACAUGGUCUGGGUCACGUUGAAGCUGUGACGCCAGUUGUGGUAGGUGAUCCAGCAUUAGGCUUUGCUGACGGAGAACAGGAGCCACACCAGGACCUGGGGGAGCACACAGGCUCUGGGCCCAGCCCCACCCCUGUCACCAGCCCUCGGGGAGUGGUUUGUGGAGGGGUGCAGGAGGCCUGGGCAGGGCAGAAGCCAAGAGCAGCCCCACUGGGACAGGACAUCGUCCUGGGCAAGGCUGGGAGACAGAUGUGGGCAGCAGGGGCCUCAGCUGUGUCCACUGAGACAGUUAGGGUCAGAAAACAGACUUUUUUUUUUUUAUUCUAACUUAUACGUGUGUAAUGUUUCCUCUUUGUGUUUAGUAAAAUUUC